rnacentral:misc_RNA from 1 species
GAUGAAGAACGUAGCGAAAUGCGAUAAAUAAUGUGAAUUGCAGAAUUCAGUGAAUCAUCGAGUCUUUGAACGCACAUUGCGCCCCCUGGUAUUCCGGGGGGCAUGCCUGUCCGAGCGUCAUUGCUGCCCUCAAGCACGGCUUGUGUGUUGGGCCCCCGUCCCCCCCUCCCGGGGGACGGGCCCGAAAGGCAGCGGCGGCACCGCGUCCGGUCCUCAAGCGUAUGGGGCUUUGUCACCCGCUCUGUAGGCCCGGCCGGCGCCUGCCGACCACCAUCAAUCUUUUUUCAGGUUGACCUCGGAUCAGGUAGGGAUACCCGCUGAACUUAAGCAUAUCAAUAAGCGGAGGA